rnacentral:rRNA from 1 species
UGGGGAAUCUUGCGCAAUGGGCGAAAGCCUGACGCAGCGACGCCGCGUGGGGGAUGAAGCUUUUCGGAGUGUAAACCCCUUUCGACCCGGAAGAAAGCCCGCAAGGGUCUGACGGUACGGGUAUAAGAAGCCCCGGCUAACUACGUGCCAGCAGCCGCGGUAAAACGUAGGGGGCCAGCGUUGCUCGGAAUUACUGGGCGUAAAGGGUCUGUAGGCGGUGCGGCAAGUCGGAAGUGAAAUCCCAGGGCUUAACUCUGGGGCUGCUCCCGAAACUGCUGUGCUAGAGUGUGAGAUAGGCGAGUGGAAUUGCAGGUGUAGCGGUGAAAUGCGUAGAUAUCUGCAGGAACAUCCGAGGCGAAAGCGGCUCGCUGGAUCACAACUGACGCUGAGAGACGAAAGCUAGGGGAGCAAACAGGAUUAGAUACCCUGGUAGUCCUAGCCCUAAACGAUCAGGACUUGGCGUGAGCCCUGUACGGGGCUCGUGCCGAAGCUAACGCGAUAAGUCGUGCGCCUGGGGAGUACGGUCGCAAGGCUG